UACGGAGGGUGCGAGCGUUGUCCGGAAUCAUUGGGCGUAAAGGGCGCGUAGGUGGCCCGGUCAGUUCGUGGUGAAAGCGCGGGGCUCAACCCUGCGUCGGCCAUGAAUACUGCCGCGGCUGGAGCACUGUAGAGGCAGGCGGAAUUCCGGGUGUAGCGGUGGAAUGCGUAGAGAUCCGGAAGAACACCGGUGGCGAAGGGCGGCCUGCUGGGGCCAGUUGCUGACACUGAGGCGCGACAGCGUGGGGAGCAAACA
rnacentral:rRNA from 1 species